rnacentral:rRNA from 1 species
ACACAUGCAAGUCGAACGGUAACGCGGGGCAACCCUGGCGACGAGUGGCGAACGGGUGAGUAAUACAUCGGAACAUGUCCUGGAGUGGGGGAUAGCUCGGCGAAAGCCGGAUUAAUACCGCAUACGCUCUGAGGAGGAAAGCGGGGGACCUGGUAACGGGCCUCGCGCUGCAGGAGUGGCCGAUGUCGGAUUAGCUAGUUGGUGAGGUAAAGGCUCACCAAGGCGACGAUCCGUAGCUGGUCUGAGAGGAUGAUCAGCCACACUGGGACUGAGACACGGCCCAGACUCCUACGGGAGGCAGCAGUGGGGAAUUUUGGACAAUGGGGGCAACCCUGAUCCAGCCAUGCCGCGUGAGUGAAGAAGGCCUUCGGGUUGUAAAGCUCUUUCGGACGGGACGAAAUGGUUAGCGUGAAUAACGCUGACUGAUGACGGUACCUGAAGAAGAAGCACC